rnacentral:tRNA from 1 species
GAGGCAGUAGCUCAGUGGUAGAGUUCCCGUUCCGUAUGUGGGAAGACCUGGGUUCGAUCCCCAUCUGUUUAA